UUCUUAGUGCUUGCAUUUUGCUACAUAUUUCUUAUCAAUGCUCAGCCCAUGUGGUCACGCAUACUUGGUGUUUUUCUACUUAUUAAUGAGACUCAGCUACAACAAACAAUGCCGAUCACGACUGAAUAUUUUGUCGAUCGAGAAAAGCAUUUCUAUAUAUUUCUGCUGCACACGAACGUAACCCUUUGUCUAGGGACGUUCGUGACUCUAGGGAUUGGUACGAUGUUCGUAGGAUAUCUUCGACAUGUCUGCGGGAUGCUUAAAAUCGCCAGUUAUCGUAUCGAGCAAGCAAUGGGCACCGAAUCUUCACAAGAUACUGAAGUGAAAAAUGAGAUAAUGAUCUGUAAGGAGAUAAUUUAUGCCGUGGAUAUCCAUCGUAAAGCUUUGAGGUCCUCAAAAUCUAUUACAUCCACAUUUGAGGGAAUGUUCUUUCUUUUAUUAGCGUUUGGUGUAAUUUGCCUGAGUCUUAAUCUUUUUCGGAUUUUUCAGAUUGUAUCGUUUGAAAACGAUAUCCAGGAACUUUUGUUACGUCUUGCCAUUGUAAAUGCCAUACUUUUGUACAUAUUUUUGGUGAGCUAUACUGCGCAGGAAAUUACAGAUCAUAAUAACCACGUAUUCGAGACCGUAUAUAAUAUACCAUGGUACAUGGCUCCAUUACACAUACAGAAGAUGAUACUAUUUCUGUUGCAAAGAGGCAGCAAAACUUUUACCUUGAGCCUCGGUGGAUUAUUCGUGGCAUCCUUAGAAAGUGCCUCUACGGUCUGAAUAAUAAUACUUUAUAUCGAAAUAUAUUGAACAUACAUAACUCUAUGGACGAGCAUAGUGAAGAAAGGCAAUUUGCUUACAGUUGGCGAGUGCCUCCAUAUCUUACUUCACUAUUCUUUAUUCCACACAACAAUGACUAAAAUGUAACGUGUCGUAUAUUUUACCGGAGAUAAAUCGAUGGUUUAUAUGCCGAUUCGACAGCGGAAUGAAGAAAAAUCGUUUUUGAAGAGUCAACAGUGAUCUACGAAUACGCACUAGAAUGAAGCACGUGGAAAACGCUCAACUGCGAAGUGGUGGUAGAAGCACCUGCGCAGUCCUUCAUCGACCCUUGCUGAUAUUUUCUCGAUAAGAAAUAAACGUUCGUUGAAAUUACGUUUGUAUUCAAUCGAUCGCGUAAUCACCGAACUUUUCGCCGGCGAAUAUGCUAAAUCGCAAGUAUUCCAAACACACGGUGAUAUUCCGCGCCGCUUUAAAUUACACUAAGAAAAAUAUUCGAAAUAUCCGAUUG
rnacentral:misc_RNA from 1 species